rnacentral:rRNA from 1 species
CCUACGGGGGUCAGCCGUGGGGAAUCUUGCGCCAUGGGCGAAAGCCUGACGCAGCGACGCCGCGUGAGGGAUGAAGGUCUUCGGAUCGUAAACCUCUGUCAGCAGGGAAGAACGGUCACUGUGCUAAUCAGCAGUGAAUUGACGGUACCUGCAAAGGAAGCACCGGCUAACUCCGUGCCAGCAGCCGCGGUAAUACGGAGGGUGCGAGCGUUAAUCGGAAUUACUGGGCGUAAUGCGCUCGUAGGCGGUCUGUCAAGUCAAGGGUGAAAUCCCCGCGCGCAACGUGGGAACUGCCUUUGAAACUGGCAAACUUGAGUGUGUGAGAGGAUAGUGGAAUUCCAGGUGUAGGAGUGAAAUCCGUAGAUAUCUGGAGGAACAUCAGUGGCGAAGGCGACUAUCUGGCACAUAACUGACGCUGAGGAGCGAAAGCGUGGGUAGCAAACAGGAUUAGAUACCCGAGUAGUC